UUUGAUAGAGAUAAGGAUAUUACUGUGUUCCCAAAUCUAAUGUCCUUGUCUGUUUCGGAAUGCCCGAGAUUGAAAUCACUCCCCUGGGGCCUGAAGGGAUCUCCCUUGAAGGAGCUGGACAUCCACAGCUGCCAAAGUCUCGAAAUUAAGGAUCCCUUGAAGAGAGUUGUCGAUCUGGGGGGAUGCCCUCUUUUGAAAAAUGUGGAGAAAUUAACUGUCCGGACUUCGUUCUCUCUCUCCUCUAUUAUUUCCAACCACGCUGACCCUCAUCAUCAGAUUCUCUCUUUCUCUCUCUCCAAUAAAUCCCUCUCUCCUCUUCAUCUCUCUCAAAUGAACCCAUCCCCAAACUCCUCCGCCCCAUCUCCUCUUCCUUGACCGACACCCUCCGUCGCCUCCCUGACCAGAUCCGCCGCUCCGAGCUCAGAUCCAGCCAAGACCCUGGGCCGGCCCUGGGGUAAGCCCACCAAGCCCCGGGGCUGGGGCAACCUAGGGCCGGGGGGCAACUCGCCGGUGGCAUACAUACUCCCAUGGGACCUCGCCGGAGUCGGAGGCAGUGCCGCCGCCUCAUCCACCCCAUGCGACCCUCUGGAACUCUCGCAAGCGAUCAGACUUGGGAAUUGUUCUUCCUUCGUAGGACCAAGAGUGCUUUAAAGAUUAAGACCAGCGACAGUGAUCACCUCCUCUCUCUUUACUCUCCCAGCUUCAGUUAUUAAGUCCUCGUAAUCACUUGUGGUACUCCAGACUAAGAUGUAUUUUUCUCUUUCCUACUUGAAGAGUUUUGGGCAUGAUGAUUCAGAGGCGUGAAUGUAACUGUAUGGUUGCAUUGCCGACCGAGUCACGCUCCAAAUUAUCACGUUUUGGACCCGAGGCGCUUCGGCAAACAAAAUAGCAAGAUAUCUCAAUUCAGGCAACAGGCCGAGAGGAGGAAGCUGCAC